UUCAGCAAGACGACACAAACACGAAGCUGGGCUUCAUCUGACACUCCCCCUUUUUACUCGGUAUGCGCCUAGAUGCCUGGCUUCAGAUGGCCCAUCACUAGUGCUACCAACAGAUGAGCUUUAACCUAACGCUGUUGUUGUGCUGCCUGGAUUUUGGACUUUUGUAUUUCUGGAUUUGCCAUUAAAAUUCACCUUUAUUCGAGAAGGACCUCGCUGCAGCAAACAGAAAGGGGCGGGGACGGACUUUUCCGUCAGUCCCAUACCUUAUUUGGAAAUGGGACUAUUGCAUUCCGGAAAUGAAGGGGGUGCUAUUUUCAUAAUCACUAGUAUAAAUACCUUAAGACGCGGAGUUAAGAGGAAAGGAAGAAGAAAGAAAGAAGUUUGAGAGGUUCUUCCACUGGUGUUCGGCACACGAUCAACAAUGCAAACCUCACAAAGUCAACAAAAGAUCCACGUAUCUAUUUGCAACAUGAACAUAAAUAUUGCUGUCCCCUUUGCUCAUACAAGCUACAGAACCACAUAGCACAAACUGCUAUGGUUCAACAUAUCGAUGCCUUUAAAUGUUCUUGAAGCUGUUCUCCAGGAGGUGAUACCAGCACAGGGAGACUCAGCCUACCUCACCUUGGCAUUGACCUGCAAGUGCUUUGAAGCCGUUGAGUCUGACCCAGUUUUCAGGAAGAAGACUCACUUUGCUUGGCUGGAUGGUGAGAUCAACUGGGGCAAAUUUUCAAAAACAUUCAAGGCAGAAAACCGGAUUCCUUUUGCGGUUGUAACGUGUUUUUCCUGCAACCGGUAAUAUAAAGACUGUGGGCUUCACUGGCAAUGGAAGACGAGGAGAGUACCCUGGUUACUACUGUGAUGGCCGACCUGGACACUGCACUGGCUGUCAAUACUGAAUGCAAGGAGAAUAUUAGUUGCUUUCCACAGUCUUUCACACAUUUCAGUUGUCACACAUUGUUCGUUUUUUUUGUGACAAGCCAUUUUAAAUCAUUUCUGCUAAAGAAUAUUUGCCUUUUGACUUGUGCAGUCAUCCUUUUUAAUAAUGUGUUCUUUCAAUAUUAUUUACAUUUUUGAAUGUUCCUUUUGUUGUAGUUCAGUUGAUUUGCAUUAUUUAGUUUUCAUAGAAAUGGUGCCGUUUCCACACAAAGUUGCAUUGUGGCUGUAAUUUGUUGGAGAGAGUAGAACCAAUAAAGUAGUUGUAAAUAUAUUGUAACAGCGUUGUUUAACAAUAGGAUAACCUUGUUUUAAAAAUUUUAAAUGCAAGCAAAGCUAAUAACUUGCAAUAUUUUAUAUGUGUAAAUAUAAUGUUUCCUGACAUACAGCUAAGUUUAUGUUUUAACAGAAUCAACUGUUGGGUUUUAUUGUAAUUAAGUAAGCACAUACAGAAACAUAUUGUUCAGUUACAAAGUCAUAAUACAAACAUAAGAUUAAAGGUAUCCUGAGCCGGACUUUAUGAAGAGAGAUGAGCCCGGCGCCGUUAGGUUGGGAUGGAGACACCUGAUCAGGUGAUUGGCUGAGCAGGUGAGAUAAAGACAGUUAUAGUUAGAAUUUACACACUGGUUUAAUUUAUGUAACCAGUGACUUUAUUCAAAAAGGUUUUCAUAUAG